GAAGCAAAGCCGCGAGGCGGAGCAAAUCCCUAAAAGCGUCCCAGUUCGGAUUGCAGGCUGCAACCCGCCUGCAUGAAGUUGGAAUCGCUAGUAAUCGCGGAUCAGCAUGCCGCGGUGAAUACGUUCCCGGGCCUUGUACACACCGCCCGUCACACCGUGAGAGUCGGGAACACCCGAAGUCCGUAGCCUGACCGCAAGGGGGGCGCGGCCGAAGGUGGGUUCGAUAAUUGGGGUGAAGUCGUAACAAGGUACC
rnacentral:rRNA from 1 species